rnacentral:rRNA from 1 species
GAUGAACGCUAGCGGCAGGCCUAACACAUGCAAGUCGAGGGGUAGCAGGAUUAAGCUUGCUUAAUUGCUGACGACCGGCGCACGGGUGCGUAACGCGUAUGCAACCUACCUUAUACUGGGGUAUAGCCCGGAGAAAUUCGGAUUAAUCCCCCAUAGUACUAAUGAAUCGCAUGGUUUAUUAGUUAAAGCAUUGCGGUAUAAGAUGGGCAUUCGUCCUAUUAGCUAGAUGGUGAGGUAACGGCUCACCAUGGCUACGAUAGGUAGGGGGCCUGAGUGGGUGGGCCCCUACACUGUUCUUGAGACACGGACCAGACUCCUACGGGAGGAAGCAGUGAGUAAUAUUGGUCAAUGGGCGCAAGCCUGAACCAGCCAUGCCACGUGAAGGAAGAAUGCCCUAUGUGUUGUAAACUGCUUUUAUUUGGGAAUAAACCUCUUUACGUGUAGAGAGCUGAAGGUACCAAAUGAAUAAGCACCGGCUAACUCCGUGCCAGCAGCCGCCGUAA